rnacentral:rRNA from 1 species
UACGGGGGGAGCAAGCGUUGUCCGGAAUUACUGGGCGUAAAGGGCGUGUAGGCGGUCUGUUAAGUCAGAUGUUAAAGCCCCCGGCUUAACCGGGGAAUGUCAUUUGAAACUGACAGGCUUGAGUGCGAGAGAGGGUAGCGGAAUUCCCAGUGUAGCGGUGAAAUGCGUAGAUAUUGGGAAGAACACCAGUAGCGAAGGCGGCUACCUGGCUCGCAACUGACGCUAAGGCGCGAAAGCGUGGGGAGCAAACAGG